GAAGUAAACAUGAGUUCUCCUUUAUGG
rnacentral:piRNA from 1 species